AUUUAUUAAUUUAUUAAUUAUUAUUUUUUGUAAGAAUUUUUUGUUUUAUUAUUUUCAAGAAAGAAUUUUUUUUAUUAUAGUUUAUUAUGUACUGUGAGGGGAAUUUUUUAAGUUUUUAAAAGAAAAUUUAAUUUAUUGUACCUUUUGUAUCAGGGUUUAUUAAUUAAUUUUAUUUAUUUAUUUUUCUCGAAUUUUAAGGGGCUAGUUAUUAAUUUAUUUUAUUGUUAAAUAAAUAUUUUCAAUUUAUAGCUUGAAACGAAACAUUAUUCGUCUUGGAAUAUAUCUAGUUUCCUAGGAAUUAGAUUCAAUCUAUUUAAUUGAAGGGUUAUUAUUAAUUUAUAUUUUUCUUUUUGAUUAUUAAAUAUUUAAAGGGAUUAGCUUUUAAUUUUUUUAUAAUUUUUAUUUUUUUUUUAUUAUGUAGGAUUAGAAUUUUUCUUCAUUUGAAUUAUGUUUUAAUUUAAUAAUUUGUGUUAUUAUUUCUUUUUAUUUAAAAUUUUACUUGGAUUUUUUGAUUAAUUUAUAAUUUUUAGUAAAAAUGAUAAAAUUAGUAAUAAUAUUUGUAUUUAUUUAUUUUAUUUUAAUUUAAAUUAAGGAAUUCGGCAAUUAUAUUUUUCGCCUGUUUAAUAAAAACAUGUCCUUUUGAUUAUUAUUUAAGGUCUUGCCUGCCCACUGAUUUAUUGAAGGGCCGCAGUAUUCUGACUGUGCAAAGGUAGCAUAAUAAUUAGUUUCUUUAUUGGGAGCUGGUAUGAAUGGUAGGACGAGAGAAUUACUGUCUUUAUUUGAAUUUUAUUGAAUUUAACUUUUUAGUUAAAAGGCUGAUAUGUUAAUAAAAGACGAGAAGACCCUAUAGAGUUUUAUAAGAUUAGAUUUAUUUUAUUUAAGGGAUUGAAUUUAUUUAAAUUAUGUUUUAUUUAGUUGGGGUGAUUGGAAAAUUGUUAAAACUUUUCUUUUUUUAUAACAUUUAUUUAUGAUUAUUUGAUCCUUGGUUUGAGAUUAUAAGAUUAAAUUACCUUAGGGAUAACAGCGUAAUUCUUUUUUAGAGUUCAUAUCGAAAUUAGAGUUUGCGACCUCGAUGUUGGAUUAAAAUUUACUUUUGGUGCAGAAGCUUUAAAGUUAAGUCUGUUCGACUUUUAAAAUUUUACAUGAUCUGAGUUUAGACCGGCGUGAGCCAGGUUGGUUUCUAUCUUUAUUUUAUUAAUAUAUUUUAGUACGAAAGGACCAUUUAUAUAUAUAAUAUAUUUAUUUUUGAUUAUUAUU
rnacentral:rRNA from 1 species